CCUUCGAUAGCUCAGCUGGUAGAGCGGAGGACUGUAGAUCCUUAGGUCGCUGGUUCGAUUCUGGCUCGAAGGA